CACAGCGAGACUCCACAUGAAGAGAAGGGACCUGAAGUCUCAUGAGCUCAGUUCCAUAAUCAUGCCUGGGUGGCUACUCCAUGCUGGGCACUCCUCUAGUCAACAGGGCAGAAGGAAUUUUAUGAGCAGAGCCUGGAGGUGGGAAAUAGCAUGGGGUGUGUGGGGCCCACCAAGCAACUUGGCAUUGGUGGACGUCUACAGUGUGUGGCAGUGGCCAGCAGGGGAUGUGCUAUGGGAAUAGGCAGAGGCCAGACGAUGGAGAACCUACAUCAAGAAACAUCGUGCUUUUUUAAAGCUUGGAAAUGAAAAGAUACCUCAGAUGUGGCUCUAUCCAAAGGGCUCUGCCUGCCUUGGCAGCCACCACACCUGCAGCAAGACGAUCCGUUUUUCAGCGCGUCUGCUGAUCCCUGAACACCUCUCUGCCCCCUCCAGGGCUCUGUCCAGGUGUAUGUUACUCAUAUUUGCAGAUUCAGUGCUGAUGAGACAGUUUCUGGAGACCCAGGACAAACAAUGCUGGCUGGAAGAGCCAACCCUGGCCAGUCAGCCCCUUGUUUGGCAGCACUUCCAGGUGCUACAGAAGAACUGGUGCAGCAAGGACGAUUGAUUCGUGUGGGUCAAAGUAGGGGUGUUGAUGUUCUUCCGGAAUGUGCAGCAGUUGCUGAUAAUAUUGGCUGACACUGAAGAUCCUGCCAAUUUCUUUAAUCUUCCUUACUGCUGGUAGACUUGAAUGGUCCAAAAGGCCAUGUAUACCAGCCUGGAGUGCUACCCCGAAACCACUGGAUCUUGAACUCCCUGCCACUCUGAACGGCAAUGCACAAAGCAGGUGAUCUUAUUUAUACUGGCAACAUAAGUUCUUGGUAACAGGGGCAGAGCAGUAUGGUUUGGUGCCUAACACAGGAAGUUAAAAAAUAAAAA
rnacentral:lncRNA from 1 species